rnacentral:rRNA from 1 species
AACGAACGCUGGCGGCAUGCCUAACACAUGCAAGUCGAACGAGACCUUCGGGUCUAGUGGCGCACGGGUGCGUAACGCGUGGGAACCUGCCCUUAGGUUCGGAAUAACUCCCCGAAAGGGGUGCUAAUACCGGAUAAUGUCUUCGAACCAAAGAUUUAUCGCCUUUGGAUGGGCCCGCGUUGGAUUAGCUAGUUGGUAGGGUAAAAGCCUACCAAGGCGACGAUCCAUAGCUGGUCUGAGAGGAUGAUCAGCCACACUGGGACUGAGACACGGCCCAGACUCCUACGGGAGGCCGCAGUGGGGAAUAUUGGACAAUGGGCGAAAGCCUGAUCCAGCAAUGCCGCGUGAGUGAUGAAGGCCUUAGGGUUGUAAAGCUCUUUUACCCGGGAUGAUAAUGACAGUACCGGGAGAAUCAGCUCCGGCUAACUCCGUG